UACGUAGGGUGCGAGCGUUAAUCGGAAUUACUGGGCGUAAAGCGUACGUAGGCGGUUGCUUAAGUCAGAUGUGAAAUCCCCGGGCUCAACCCGGGAACUGCGUUUGAUACUGGGCAACUCGAGACAGACAGAGGAAAGUAGAAUUCUCGCAAGUAGUGGUGAAAUGCGUAGAUAUGCGGAGGAAUACUAGUGGCGAAGGCGGCUUUCUGGGUCGUGUCUGACGCUGAAGUACGAAAGCGUGGGUAGCAAACAGG
rnacentral:rRNA from 1 species